AACGAACGCUGGCGGCAUGCCUAACACAUGCAAGUCGAACGAUCCCUUCGGGGAUAGUGGCGCACGGGUGCGUAACGCGUGGGAACCUGCCCUUAGGUUCGGAAUAACUCAGAGAAAUUUGAGCUAAUACCGGAUAAUGUCUUCGGACCAAAGAUUUAUCGCCUUUGGAUGGGCCCGCGUUGGAUUAGCUAGUUGGUGGGGUAAAGGCCUACCAAGGCGACGAUCCAUAGCUGGUCUGAGAGGAUGAUCAGCCACACUGGGACUGAGACACGGCCCAGACUCCGACGGGAGGCAGCAGUGGGGAAUAUUGGACGAUGGGCGAAAGCCUGAUCCAGCCAUGCCGCGUGAGUGAUGAAGGCCUUAGGGUUGUAAAGCUCUUUUACCCGGGAUGAUAAUGACAGUACCGGGAGAAUAAGCCCCGGCUAACUCCGUG
rnacentral:rRNA from 1 species